GAUAGAAAUAUAAAAACAGUAAGACUUAAAGUUUUAUAUUAUGCUCCUGUACAUACUUAAUAAGGAUAGAAGUUAGGGGCGGGUCCAUUAGAGUGAGAAGUGAGUAAAAAUUUAUGGGUCGUGGAAUAUUUGAAGGUAACACAUCGUACAAAGAGUAAUUGAAUCUCGGACAAGAGAAGAAAAUGUGAUCUACGGUGCCUUCGUCUAACCCACAUUCGCACAGUGACGUAUCCCGGACCCGUAUCUUGGCAAGGAAUACAGGUGUACAAACUGGCCCCAAGCGUAAACGGCAAAUUGUAGACGUAACCCAUUUAGGGUAUGCUCGGAAUUUGAAAAACCAUGGUUUACGUGGAAUAUUGGGUUGAAUGUGUCCAUAGUGUUUUCCUACCUCCAAUCUGGAAGAAUUCCAGAGAUUUUGCCACGUGUUAAACAUAUCAGUCUGUGCAUGGCUUAGAAGGUCAGAGCUGUAUAUCCUGUCGUGGCCUGGUGAUCCCAUCUCAAUAGCUCUCUUUGCCCAUAAGUCUGCAGACUCGUUUCCAGGAAUGCCACAAUGGCCUGGGAUCCAUCCGAGUACUAUUUUUAAUCCCUUUGAUUCACAUUUUCUUAAUAAGGUUUUGAUCUGAAGUAUCAAGGGGAAUUUUGCCUUCAUUUUAAACUGGUUGCCCAUAAUAGCUUGCAGGCAACUCCUGCUAUCUGUAAAAAUGAUCAUUUUUGCUAUAUUGUGAGAGUCAGCGUAUGCUACAGCUUCCAAGAUGGCAACAGCCUCGCCUGUGAAAAUGGAUGAUUGAGGAGGACAUUUAAACAUCAAGACAAUGUUAUAUUUUGGAAUCACCACUGCUGCUCCAACACAAUUUGCGGGAUCAUUUUUUGAUGCGUCAGUAAACACAGUGACCAAUGAAGCAAGAGCCCGCAAGCGUGUAAUCAGCAAGUGAUUGGAGUUGGAGAUAGCUCUUAUGAGGAACCUGUCAGCAAGAUAUUGUCUACGCAGCACCAGAGGAGGCUCCACACAUUCUACUUGCAUGGCAUUUUUUGGGGAAGAUCUCAUGGCACCAAAUGAGGUUUUCCACUCAUUUUCCGAUCCAGGAUGAUACCCAGGAAUUUGGUUGACUCUUUAUUGGGAAUGCUUUCUUCACCAUAAUGAACAUCUGCAGUUGGCAUGUUCCUUUUGCGACUGAAGGUCACAGCACAGCUCUUGGAGGGUGACAAAGACAGACCAUGCUCUUCAAGCCAAUCCUUCAGAAGCGGUUCAGGAGACGGGGAUGGAAGAACAGAUGAGGGCUUGGAAAUAAUAAUGGGAAAGUGAUCGCUGCCAUAGGACUGACGAAGCACAGUCCAAGAUAACAAUGAGGCCAAAUUAGGGGAGCAAGCUGACAAGUCGGGAACGGACUGUGGGUUCUGGCCAGGAUAGACUCGAUGUGUGGGCGAUCCGUCGUUUAUAAUGCAAACGUUGAUUUCAUCGAAGAUUUCUAACAAGAGUGACGAAAACCCAUCUGAAUGGUAUGAUCCCCACGAAAUGUUGUGUGAAUUAAAAUCGCCUAAAACUAUAUGAGGAGGAGGGACAGAGGUUAGGAUAGAAGAUAAUUCAGGAAUAAGGUCAAGGUCAGGGUGAGGAAUAUAUAUUGAAAUGAAAUUAAUGCCCAUAACCUUAGCGGCUACGGCAUUAAUUUCAUUUCCAUGAGGAGGGAGGGGAAUUUGAGAGAAGGGGUAGGAUUGCUUGAUC